rnacentral:piRNA from 1 species
UCUCCAGGUUGUACACGUAUUCCUUGUACUC